ACAAACUUGGUCAUUUAGAGGAAGUAAAAGUCGUAACAAGGUCUCCGUUGGUGAACCAGCGGAGGGAUCAUUACCGAAUGACAGCUCUUCUGAGCAUAACCCACGACCCCUAGAACCUACCGCGCUGCGAGAGCAGCCAGUUGCCUCGGCCGGGCUUGGCCCAGCCCGGCCGGAGGAAGGCCCGUCGAAAGAUGGGAGCAGGCAAACGCGAAAGCGACCCGGCUAGUCCCCGGGACCGUCAGAGUAUAACGUGAGAUGUGCGAGAGGGGUUUCAGGUUAGGGGGGGGAAACCCUUUCCCGCCUAACUCCUCUCUCCUCUCUCUACGAAACGAAACGUUAAAACUUUCAGCAACGGAUCUCUUGGCUCCGGCAUCGAUGAAGAACGCAGC
rnacentral:misc_RNA from 1 species